UAGUCCACGCCGUAAACGAUGAUUACUCGCUGUUGGCGAUACACAGUCAGUGGCUAAGCGAAAGUUUUAAGUAAUCCACCUGGGGAGCACGAUCGCAAGAUUGAAACUCAAAGGAAUUGACGGGGGCCCGCACAAGCGGAGGAACAUGUGGUUUAAUUCGAUGAUACGCGAGGAACCUUACCUGGGCUUAAAUGUACGGCGAUCGGUCUAGAGAUAGACUUUUCUUCGGACGACGUACAAGGUGCUGCAUGGUUGUCGUCAGCUCGUGCCGUGAGGUGUCGGGUUAAGUCCCAUAACGAGCGCAACCCCUAUCUUUAGUUGCUAACAGGUUAAGCUGAGGACUCUAGAGAGACUGCCACCGUAAGGUGAGAGGAAGGUGGGGAUGACGUCAAAUCAGCACGGCCCUUAUGUCCAGGGGCUACACACGUAUUACAAUGGUCAGUACAAAGGGGCAGGCUACCUGGUGACAGGGAUGCUAAUCUCUAAAACUGGGUACUCAGUUCGGGAUCGGGAGUC
rnacentral:rRNA from 1 species